rnacentral:ncRNA from 1 species
GAGAGCACAGUACGAUGAAAGUUGUAAACUGUGUUUGGGGGGGGGGGGGGGGGAAUUAUUGUCCAUCGUUGGCCUCUAUGGUAGAAUCAGUCGGGACCUGAGAGGCUGUGUUUACCCUGC